CCUACGGGAGGCUGCAGUGAGGAAUAUUGGUCAAUGGCCGGAAGGCUGAACCAGCCAAGCCGCGUGCAGGACGCAGUUGCCAAGCAUUUUAAACUUCUUUUGUCAAGGGACAAAAUCAGGCUCGAGAGCCUGACCGAGGGUACUUGAAGAAAAAGCAUCGGCUAACUCCGUGCCAGCAGCCGCGGUAAUACGGAGGAUUGGAGCGUUAUCCGGAUGUAUUGGGUUUAAAGGGUGCGUAGGCGGACUGUUAAGUCAGGGGUAAAAGCCCGGGGCUAACCCCCGGCGAGCCGUUGAAACUGGCUGUUUUGAGAUGUCGAGAGGUAUGCGGAAUGCGCAGGGUAGCGGUGAAAUG
rnacentral:rRNA from 1 species